rnacentral:lncRNA from 1 species
AAAAAUCGCUUUUGACUUCUAUGGCUCCCUUAAAACCUGGUAUUAUACAAUAUAUAAAUUAACCUAUAAUUGAUUUUGGAUUUAAGUGCUUCAUCUCUAUUUAAAUUAUUUAAAUUUGAGUUAACGUAUAUAGAGCUACUUGAAUUUGAUAAUUUAUACUUAUUUAAUACUUUUUUUUUUUUUGGAUUUAUCUGAUAUCUAAACUUAAAAUUCAUAAGUAAUUUGGUACUUUUUUUAAGUAUUGACAAAAAUUGUUAAAAUAUGUUUAUGUGCAAUGCUGACCAAUAGCAUAAUGACACAUGAUAGUUGUAACAGGCCCAUUUUGCCCUGCCUGAGCCCAAACCAAUAACCUAAACCCCUAACCCAAUUUUUUGAUGGCCCGAUAGGCCCAAAACUCAAGCCAAUUUUGGCAAACCAGGAAACCCUAGUUUCCCCCUAGCGCCGUACCCUUCCCACGUGCUUUGUCGGCACGUCCAACGUCCGAGGCUCGGCUCCCCUUGUCCCGUUGCACCAAAACGACCAUCUACAGCCCCGUUGACCCUUGCUGCACCUGCAAAAGAAAGCAAAAAAGGAAACAAGAAAGACACCAAAGCAAAAAGGCAAAAGACAGAGCAGAAACAAAGCAAGAAAACAAGCAAAAGCAUAGACAAUAGCAAUAAUAUUAAAUCGAGUAUAUUUCUCGGCUAUAUAAGCCUAAAAACCAGAUAUUGUAAAGGUUACACACGAUUUAAGCAAUAAUAAUAAAAAGGUUGAAUCUUAUCUUCUCUUUUUAUUUCCUGUUUUCUGUUUUCUUAUUUUUAUUUUCUGUUUUCAAAUUUGUUUUAAACAAAAACAAGAAGAAAAGAGAAAAGGAGACUUACCCCAAACCCCGAAGUUGCGUCGUCGGAGCCCCUGCUCCGUUGUUAAAGCCAAUUCCAAAGGGAAUAAAGGGGGUCUCUUCUCUUAUGCUCUCGGGCUAGAGGGGAUAUAGCCUUCGAGCGCUUUAAACGGAGGUGAAAAACCCCCUUUUUACAUGCCCUCAACCACCGUCCACGGUGGCAUCACAACGGCGGCGGCGAUGAUGGGUUAAGAAACCCUAGCACAGAGGAAAAAGGGGGGGGGCUACUCUCUUUCUGUUUGUUUUUGUAGAAAAAGGGAAGAAAUAAAAAAAAGGAGUAAAAAAUUUAGUUUAAAUGGCAGUAUAAAACGGUGCCGCUUUGCACCAAAGGCACCAGCAUUGAAACGGUGUCGUAUGAGCAGACCCGCGCGCGACCCGACCCGCUCCAGGGGGGAUCAUCGCGUUUCACUCAUUUGGGUUUAUUGCGCGCUUGGUCCUUUCAUUUUCAGGGCACUACAAUCUGGCCUUCAUUGUUUUUUUUCUAUUUCUUUUAAAUUUCGCCGCAUUUUUUUGUGUUUGCUUCAGUUUAGUCCAUCUUGAAACGCAGCAUAUAGGGGCUAGGGAUAAUUUCCUAAUCAGCCCUCCCUAUGUUUCAGUGUGUUUCAUCUAGGUCCCCGAUGGCCUAUUUUUGUUAUUUAUAAUUUUUUUCCUUGAAUUUC